rnacentral:rRNA from 1 species
UACGAAGGGUGCUAGCGUUGUUCGGAAUUACUGGGCGUAAAGCGCGCGUAGGCGGCUUUCCAAGUCAGGGGUGAAAUCCUGGGGCUUAACCCCAGAAUUGCCUUUGAAACUGGAAAGCUAGAGUGUCGGAGGGGAUAGCGGAAUUGCUAAUGUAGAGGUGAAAUUCGUAGAUAUUAGCAGGGACACCGGUGGCGAAGGCGGCUAUCUGGACGACAACUGACGCUGAGGCGCGAAAACGUGGGGAUCAAACAGG